UACGUAGGUCCCGAGCGUUGUCCGGAAUCACUGGGCGUAAAGCGUGCGUAGGCUGUUUCGUAAGUCGUGUGUGAAAGGCGCGGGCUCAACCCGCGGACGGCACAUGAUACUGCGAGACUAGAGUAAUGGAGGGGGAGCCGGAAUUCUCGGUGUAGCAGUGAAAUGCGUAGAUAUCGAGAGGAACACUCGUGGCGAAGGCGGGUUCCUGGACAUUAACUGACGCUGAGGCACGAAGGCCAGGGGAGCGAAAGGG
rnacentral:rRNA from 1 species